rnacentral:lncRNA from 1 species
GUUAAAUGUUCUGCCAAAUCAGGUCCAUAUCAGCAAAAUGAAGACGUCUUUGAGCCCCCAAAACCAGGAGCACGCCUUUCACAGUUUCACUUUCCUUUCCUUAGACAACCCACCCAAAUUGCAGAAUUCGGAAACAAGGUUGAAGAAGAAAUCGGAAGCGAAAUAGAAACCCUAAAUCCCCAAAAUUGUGGUUCGACAGUCGAUACCCAUAGCCCGGUCCUUCCCGUCGUUGUUCUCUCGUCAAACAGCCCAAAUGAAGCGUAAAGAACCAACAGCCUUCCAUUUCUGCAAUUCGAGCAAAUGGACGGACAACAUGAAGCUAAAAUGUCGAACUUUUUGUGGUUUUUCAUGGGUACGAAGAGUCCAUUCUCGUGGUAAAGAUUAAUGGAUAAAUUUCAUUUCAUUUCUAGUUUGAAUAAUUUGGCAAGGUUAUUGGAUUUGGAUGAUGCAGUUUUCUUCUCCUUUUUUAACGAUAAUGCACAUCUUUCACAAUUUUUCCCAUAUGUCUGUAUAUGUGUACGGUGCACUGAGUGGGUGCAACAUAAAGUUUAAGGCAAAUGAGGGAAGAAGAGUGCAAGGGAUUUAUAAACUGGGCUGCAAAUGGUGGACAUGGGUUUCGAGGGCAGGAAAACGACGAAGUGCGAAUCAUAGUACCUCUAUAGGAACACAUGUUUGCUAAUGUGUUUCCCUUUUUGACGAAAGCUGCUAUGGGAGUUGGAUCAUUUUGUUGCAGUGAAGCAGCCAUAUUUCAAACAAGAUUUAGAAGAACCCAAAUGUAUAAAGUAGACAGAACAAUGGUUUUCCUUGGAACAGCAAUUGAAUUAUGGUUCUUUCAAAUGUAAAUGAUUUUGCAGUGUAAAUUGAGAACCUAUUAUGUAUGGUUGGUUGGGUAUAUAUUAGCAGAAAUUGUGUUUGUAAUCCUUUGUGUUUAAUGUGGUGUUUGUCCUUUUUUCCACUGCAAAGGUGGCAGUAAUGUGCUCUUGUAUAGAAAACACGGUUCUGCAUUUACUCAUGUCACUUUCAUGCUAAUUUUUUAAGCCAUCGGAUUCGGGGUUAGUG